UGUGGGAGCGGGCUUGCUCGCGAAAGCGGUGGAUCAGUCGGUACAUGAGUUACCUGACACACCGCCUUCGCGAGCAAGCCCGCUCCCACA
rnacentral:misc_RNA from 1 species